rnacentral:rRNA from 1 species
GACGAACGCUGGCGGCGUGCUUAACACAUGCAAGUCGAACGGUAAGGCCCUUCGGGGUACACGAGUGGCGAACGGGUGAGUAACACGUGGGUGAUCUGCCCUGCACUUCGGGAUAAGCCUGGGAAACUGGGUCUAAUACCGGAUAGGACCACUGCCUGCAUGGGUGGUGGUGGAAAGCUUUUGCGGUGUGGGAUGAGCACGCGGUUGGUUAGUUAGUUGGUGGGAUAAGAGCUUACCAAGACGAUGAUCAAUAGCUGUUCUGAGAGGAAGAUCAGCCACACUGGGACUGAGACACGGCCCAGACUCCUACGGGAGGCAGCAGUGGGGAAUUUUGGACAAUGGGGGGAACCCUGAUCCAGCAAUGCCGCGUGAGUGAAGAAGGCCUUCGGGUUGUAAAGCUCUUUUACUGAUGAAGAUGAUGACGGUAAUCAGAGAAUAAGUUCCGGCAAACUUCGUGCCAGCAGCCGCAGUAA